UACAGAGGGUGCGAGCGUUAAUCGGAAUUACUGGGCGUAAAGAGUACGUAGGUUGUUACUUAAGUCAGAUGUGAAAGCCCUGGGCUCAACCUAGGAACUGCAUCUGAUACUGGGUAACUGGAGUAUAGUAGAGGAAAGAGGAAUUUCUGGUGUAGCAGUGAAAUGCGUAGAUAUCAGAAGGAACAUCAGUGGCGAAGGCGUCUUUCUGGACUAAUACUGACACUGAGGUACGAAAGCGUGGGUAGCGAAC
rnacentral:rRNA from 1 species